GGGAACGUGGCUCGGUGGUAGAGCACUUGCCUUGCAUGCAUGAGGCACUGGAUUCGAUUCCU
rnacentral:tRNA from 1 species